rnacentral:lncRNA from 1 species
AGGUAUUUGUCUCUCCUUUGAGUACAUAGUACAUGAGUUUGUCUGAAGUGACUCAUUUCAUUUGUCUGUUUAAGAAACAAAAAUGAGAAUCUUCAUCAGUAAGUUUGAUGUGCUUCUUCACCAGUAAUGUGACAUCCCACAUCGCUCAGGGGAGUGAUCCUUAAAUGUAUAUUCUCAUCCCUACCUAGCAUGAGGCUUUUUGGGAGCUCACUGGCUUUGGGUUCCAUCGGAACUCUGAAGUUAAGCGAGUAGCACACGAGAGCAAUCCCAUGUUGGGUGACCCACUGGCAAGUUCUCGUGUGAGUUUCCAAAAACAAAACCGUGAGGGCGUGGUCGGGGCCCAAAGCGGACAAUAUCGUGCUACGGUGGUGGAGCAGGCCCGAGAAGUGGUCCGCCCCGGGCCGGGAUGUGACAAAUGGUAUCAGAGCCAAUCCCUGGCUGGAAGUGUGCCGACGAGGACGUCGGGCCCCUAAGGGGGUGAAUUGUGACAUCUCACAUCGCCCAGAGGAGUGAUCCUUAAAUGUAUAUUCUCAUCCCUACCUAGCAUGAGGCUUUUUGGGAGUUCACUGGCUUCAGGUUCCAUCGGAACUCUGAAGUUAGGCGAGUAGCGCGCGAGAGCAAUCCCAUGAUGGGUGAUCCACUGGGAAGUUCUCAUGUGAGUUCCUAGAAACAAAACCGUGAGGGCGUAGUCGGGGUCCAAAGCGGACAAUAUCGUGCUACGGUGGUGGAGCGGGCCCGGGAUGUGGUGAACCCCAGGCCGGGAUGUGACAGGUAAAGUGCCCCUUGUAUGUGAGUUUUGAUUAUUCAUUUUCUUAAUGUUGUAGUCG